GGGGUUUCCCAGCCUUGGAUUUUCCCACCUCUCCCUAUGACUUCUAUCUCUGCCUCCCACAUGGACGAGUCAUAUUGACUCAUGGUUCUACAGUGUGACAAAAAUAGAUGUUCACCUGUGUAGAAUUAAGUCAUUUGGAACAAACUUUCCAUCUACAAAUUAUUCUGGGAUGAUUAAUACCACCAGGCAUGAGUAUUGUUACAUUUUAUGUUUCUAAAAUAAUGGCUUCAUAUUGAAAAAUGACAAAUAAUUAGGUAGCAAGAGUCUGAACAUUGCGCUAUGUUUGCUAAUCUUCAGAAUCUUGGAAGAUUUGAAGUAUUGUAUCUUAAACUUAUGUGGUAUAAAAAUAUUUUUAUAUAUAAAGCAACACAAACAAGCAUUUUGUAUUUUAUUUGCCUCUGUACUAAUGUUUAAUAAUGACCAAAGUGCAUUCUGGUUUUUGAAAGAAUGUAUUACCGGAGCUUUAAGAACAUACUAUAUUUAGUUUCUCAUGUGCAAACUUCAGCUGCAUCUGAUCUGUUUCUUCUUUCUCUGUUGUUUGAUGUUGGGAUUGUUUUUAAAAAAAGUAAGUACAUUUUAUACACAGUUUUUUCCAAAUUAUGGUACAGACCUACACAGAACUUAAUUUUGCACAAAAUAUAUUUUAAGAAAAAAAAAAAAAAAGUACAGCAGUUGUAUGGGUGAUAAAAGACAAGGCUUUUUUUGCCUUGUACAGCCUGUCACUAUUACAAAACCAUUCUUUUUAGAAUUAUUUUUAGAAAUGUAAAAUGAUUUGUGAAAUGGAAUUAAAAAUAAUAAAAACCUUUAUUUCCUACCAUUAGGAAUAUUCAUUAUGUUACAAAUGGGAGAGGUUUAGUCUCCAUCCCUCAAUAUGGGAAAUCCAGUAUGAGAAUAGAGGCAAGUAGAAAUAUGGCAGAUCUUGCGUGUUAACUGUUACUUUCUGGCACGUGUUUUGUAACUCAAAGUGUGAUCAGGCUUGGAAUAAAGCUUUUUAUGGUUGAUGGUAAAAAAAGACGUA
rnacentral:lncRNA from 1 species